UACGUAGGGUGCAAGCGUUGUCCGGAAUUACUGGGCGUAAAGGGUUCGCAGGCGGCCUUUUAAGUCAGAUGUGAAAUCCUAUAGCUUAACUAUAGUAAGCAUUUGAAACUGAAAGGCUUGAGUCAAGGAGAGGAAAGUGGAAUUCCUAGUGUAGCGGUGAAAUGCGUAGAUAUUAGGAGGAAUAUCAGUGGUGAAGGCGACUUUCUGGACUUGUACUGACGCUGAGGAACGAAAGCAUGGGUAGUAAACAGG
rnacentral:rRNA from 1 species